GUACUAACCGGGGAGGUAGCGGUGCCCUGUAUCCGCAAUCCGCUGUAGCGGGGGUGAAUUCCCCGGUUGAGGCGUUUUAUCUGUACGGCAGGAGCAUGUAAGUGGUGUUGACAGCCGGGUCUUGCGCAAUAUCGACCCGUGAACCUCGUCAGGCGGGGAACCGAGCAGCGAUAAGCGGUCAUCGGUGUGUGCCGCGAGGACGCCUGGCUCGAGCUAACUGCAUGAUUUCCGCGUAUGGGUCUGCGCCG
rnacentral:SRP_RNA from 1 species